GAAGGGGGCGAGCGUUGUUCGGAUUUACUGGGCGUAAAGGGCGCGCAGGCGGCUAUUUUUGUCAGGCGUGAAAGCCCCGGGCUUAACCUGGGAACCGCGCUUGAGACGGGAUGGCUAGAGAUCGGGAGAGGAGAGUGGAAUUCCCAGUGUAGAGGUGAAAUUCGUAGAUAUUGGGAAGAACACCGGUGGCGAAGGCGGCUCUCUGGACCGAUACUGACGCUGAGGCGCGAAAGCGUGGGGAGCAAACAGGAUUAGAUACCCUGGUAGUCCACGCCCUAAACGAUGCGAACUGGACGUUGGGAGCAAUCAGGCUCUCAGUGUCGAAGCUAACGCGUUAAGUUCGCCGCCUGGGGAGUACGGUCGCAAGACUG
rnacentral:rRNA from 1 species